CUGACUGAAAGCAACCAGAGAAUCCUAAACUGAAUCUUCGUACCUGAAAUCCUUUGCCUUCUAACACAGAUAACCAUGUCUGGAGUUAAGGGUCAGCAAAAGAAAUGCCCAGAGCCUUGCCCACCCCAGCCAUGCAAUCCAUGCCCUCCACCACAGAAAUGCCAAGAUCCUUGCAAGGAUCCUUGCCCUAAGCCAAUCCCACAAUGCCAAGACCCAUGCCAGAAGACUCCGACUCAACAGCAGGGCCAAAACCAACCCCACCAUCACUGAAGGAUACAUGAGAUGAGAAUCUUCUCUCAGAUGAUGCCUUCUACACUAUACUAAAUCAUACAAGGAGACAGCAAUCCCUGAGAUGUACUAAUAAAUAAUUGCAUUUUAAAAAGCA